rnacentral:lncRNA from 1 species
UUAAAACCAUGACUCAUAGACUUAAAGAGAUAAUAUUGGUAUGCAUAACCUUUUGAACUCUUUCCAGAAGACUCACGGUCUCUCGUGUUAGGAAGUCAAACGUGUCAAACAUAAAUGUUGAUUGUCACUUGUCAGAACAUGUUUUCUCAUAUUUUGUCAACUCAGUAUGCAAUCUCACAAGUGGUGAAACCUCAAUCAAGCUCACACAUGCAUGUUAUCCUCAUACACACCCAUAGACCAUAACAUCUGUCGGCUUAACAGUCGAUUUUCACUCUUGUAGGUCGGUAAAAAUUUUAUGGACACCCAUUUUUUCACAUAUAUUUACGCGCACUUAAAAAUAUUACAUAGACAUUAUAAAUAAAGUUAUGACUGUAUUUAAAGUUCUCUACAAUCUACUUAUCAUAUCCCACUUUACAUUUGGUGGUGAAGAUUUAGAUCAAUCAACAAAAUAUUUCAUCUAUUAG